rnacentral:rRNA from 1 species
AGUGCCUACGGGGCGCAGCAGUCGGGAAUAUUGCGCAAUGGAGGAAACUCUGACGCAGUGACGCCGCGUAUAGGACGAAGGUCUUCGGAUUGUAAACUAUUGUCGUUAGGGAAGAGAAAGGACAGUACCCAAGGAGGAAGCCCCGGCUAACUACGUGCCAGCAGCCGCGGUAAUACGUAGGGGGCAAGCGUUAUCCGGAAUUAUUGGGCGUAAAGAGUACGUAGGUGGCAACCUAAGCGCAGGGUUUAAGGCAAUGGCUCAACCAUUGUUCGCCCUGCGAACUGGGAUGCUUGAGUGCAGGAGAG